UGGUUCAACAGAGAGGCAGGGUGGUGAGCUCUUAACCAGUAGAACUGCCAAAAAUUUCUUAUUUUUAGGCUACACCUUCCUUGAAAAUUUAAUCUGACUAUUGUAUGUCAUGAACUGCAUUCCUUCGUUUUCCAUUUUUAGCCCAUUGUCUUUUCAAUGCAAUACAUUCUGUUGAUCAUAUUUAAAUGAGUUUGAUUAUUAUAUUGCUAAAUCAUAUCAUUCCCUUGGUAAUUAUUGCUUAUGGUGCUAUAGGCUCUGAAUUUUCUGAAGACA
rnacentral:misc_RNA from 1 species